GGCAAGAUGGCCGAGUGGUCUAAGGCGCUGUGUUUAGGCUUGAUUCCUUGUGGAUCUAGACAAAACCGCAGUCUUCACGGGCGUGGGUUCGAAUCCCACUCUUGUCA